CUCGUCACUUGCGGGUCUCAUUACUUGGACACAGUCGUUGCGGAAGAUUUGAUUUUCAGCCCCAGAGACGAGUAUGCCGAAAACAUAGGUGCGCUUCGUAAAAUAUUUGAAAAAGUGCAAGCCUCUCUAAUAAAAGCACACUCAAGAAAUAGUGGCUACUAUAAUUUACGUCGUAAAAACGUAGAAUUCAAUGUGGGAGACACCGUAUGGAAACGCACCUAUUACCAGAGCGACAAGGACAAUAGAUUUUCCAAAAAACUAGCACCUAAAUUCAUAAAAUGCAAAGUUGUUGCUAAAAGAUCUCCGUUGGUCUAUGAUUUAGAGGACGAACGAGGAGUAAGUUUGGGUACAUGGCAUGUCAAGGAUAUUAAACUUACAAACUAUUCUAAAUAAUUAUAUCUAAACUUUUACCUAACUAAAAUAAAACUUUCUAUAUUUACAAAACUUCCUUGCUGGGAUGGAAGUGAGAGAAAAACAUAGAAUCCCCCAGCUGCUUACUAAUUCUCGAGCAGACUGUAAGAGUCAGUCAAGAGAUUGAUGUGUAAUACCAUCAAACGCCUUAGGCCUGCCAAAAACUUAAAUCUUGAGCAUGGCAUGCGUCUUCUAAUAUCUUCUAAUAUUCUCUAAAAAUACCUUACAUACUACCUUAAAAAAAAAAAAAAACUAAAACUACACUUACUAAAACUAUACUAAAAAAUCCAAAACUAGCCUAAAACAAUGUCUUACUUACUAAAACUACCUACCGUCUUAAAUAUAUUUACUUAUAUAUAGUAUUUCUAAUUUUUUUUUUACAAAAAAAAAAUAUUGAAUCUCCAGGCCCUACCCCUAGGACAUUCUAUUUAUUUUAUCUUCGGCCCUACCCCGAAGAUAAGAAAAUUAUACUAUAAAAAGAAAAAAAAAAAACGGUUACCUUAAAUCUCCUAUUGAUUACGUGUGAGUACUAAGCUGCGGUUAAAAGUCUAGUACUCUUUUUGGAAAGGACGCAGUCACUUAAAACGAAAUAAGAUAACUGUUUGUGUGUGAAAGGGAUGAAAGAAAGUAGGGGGGUGAAUGGAAGGGUUGAAAUGAAUGUGUACCACGUAAUUUUUAGAAUGGUCAAUAGUAAGAAGGACAGACUAGCUUACAUUUUAGUCAGCGGAUUUUCUUAGCGAAAAUCCUACCCAAAAAAGGGGGGUAUGUAACGCCUGCCGCGUUUUACUACUGAGUGUAAUUGCUCUUGUUUUUCUGUUAGGAACUAUCAAAAAGUUAUCAUUGAAAACACUUAAAAACUACUGCUUAAAACUAAAAUAUUAUUACAUAAAUAAACUUAUACUAAUUAAUUUAACAAAACAUAGCUAUUUACAAAAUAAUUCCGUUAAUAUUGUACGACUUUAAUAAUUAUCACAUUGCGUAGGUAGCCGUACCUACAUUCCACAGCCGAGCCGCUACUCUUCCGAUCGGAUGUUCGACACAAUCCUUCUGCCUUUGUAGCGAGAACACCUCGAUUACUCGUAUAUUUUUUAAAUAGGGUUCACCCUUCGAGUUCAGCAACCGCUGGACCCAC